rnacentral:rRNA from 1 species
ACGCUCGACACCUACGGAGGCAGCAGUAGGGAAUCUUCCACAAUGGGCGCAAGCCUGAUGGAGCAACACCGCGUGAGUGAAGAAGGGUUUCGGCUCGUAAAGCUCUGUUGUUGGAGAAGAACGUGCGUGAGAGUAACUGUUCACGCAGUGACGGUAUCCAACCAGAAAGUCACGGCUAACUACGUGACAGCAGCCGCGGUAAUCUGAGCGGGCUGGCAAGGC